GGUGGCUCAGUGGUAGAGCACUUGCUUUGCCUGCAUGAGGUCCUGGGUUCGAUUCCUCAGCACCA
rfam:Dipodomys ordii contig_9177, whole genome shotgun sequence.